ensembl:snRNA U6 U6 spliceosomal RNA
GGGCUCGCUUGGGCAGCACAUAGACUGAAAUCGGAACGAUACAGAGAAGAUGAGCAUGGCCUCUGUGCAAGGAUGACACGCACAUUCGUGAAGAGGUUGCUUCACUA